rnacentral:rRNA from 1 species
AGAGUUUGAUCCUGGCUCAGAGUUAACGCUGGCGGCGUGCAUAACACAUGCAAAUCGAACGGAGUUACAGAACCCGCAAGGGUUUUGUAAUUUAGUGUAAACGGGUGAGUAACACGUGGGAAACCUUCCUAAAAGAGGGGGAUAACACCGCGAAAGCGGUGCUAAUACCCCAUAAGACCACAGCCUGGCAUCAGGCAGAGGCCAAAGUAGUAAUACACUUUUAGAGGGUCCUGCGUCCUAUCAGCUAGUUGGCGGGAUAACAGCCCACCAAGGCUAUGACGGGUAUCCGGCCUGAAAGGGUGAACGGACACAAUGGAACUGAGACACGGUCCAUACUCCUACGGGAGGCAGCAGUGGGGAAUUUUGGACAAUGGGCGAAAGCCUGAUCCAGCAACGCCGCGUGAAGGAUGAAGGCCUUCGGGUUGUAAACUUCUUUUAGAGGGGACGAAACAAAUGACGGAACCCUCAGAAAAAGCCACGGCUAACUACGUGCCAGCAGCCGCGGUAAUACGUAGGUGGCGAGCGUUACUCGGAUUUACUAGGCGUAAAGCGUAUGUAGGUGGUUGGAUAAGUCUAUGGUGAAAUCCUUCGGCUUAACUGGAGGGCGUACAUAGAUACUGUCUGGCUUGAGUGUGGAGGGGAAGACGGAAUUCCUGGUGUAGCAGUGAAAUGCGUAGAUAUCAGGAGGAACACCGAUGGCGAAGGCGGUCUUCUGGCCCAAUACUGACACUGAGAUACGAAAGCUAGGGGAGCAAACAGGAUUAGAUACCCUGGUAGUCCUAGCUGUAAACGAUGUUCACUAGAUGUGGGAGGUAUCGACCCCUUCCGCGUCGCCGCUAACGCAUUAAGUGAACCGCCUGGGGAGUACGGCCGCAAGGUUGAAACUCAAAGGAAUUGACGGGGGCCCGCACAAGCGGUGGAGUAUGUGGUUUAAUUCGACGCAACGCGAAAAACCUUACCUGGGCUUGAACCGCUGGUUGUAAGAUCCGGAAACGGAGAUGACCCGCAAGGGAGCCAGUAGAGGUGCUGCAUGGCUGUCGUCAGCUCGUGUCGUGAGAUGUUGGGUUAAGUCCCGCAACGAGCGCAACCCUUAUCCUAUGUUGCCCAGCAAUGGGUCUCUCUUAGGAAACUGCCCUCGAUAAGAGGGAGGAAGGUGAGGACGACGUCAAGUCAUCAUGGCCUUUAUGUCCAGGGCUACACACGUACUACAAUGGCCGGUAUAUAGGGCAGCCAACCCGUAAGGGGGAGCAAAUCCCACAAAGCCGGCCCCAGUUCAGAUUGUGGGCUGCAAUUCGCCCACAUGAAGGUGGAAUCGCUAGUAAUCGCAGAUCAGCAGGCUGCGGUGAAUACGUUCCCGGGCCUUGUACACACCGCCCGUCACACCACGAAAGCCAGUUGUAACAGAAGUCGCUGUGCUAACUCGCAAGAGAGGCAGGCGCCCAAGUUAUGGUUGGUGAUUGGGGUGAAGUCGUAACAAGGUA